AGGGACUCAGGCCUCUGUUGG
rnacentral:miRNA from 1 species